GUUCGGGCUAACGAUUCCGUUACUAAAGAUAGAAGUUUGGCAAGCGAGAGAAUUAAAAGCGUAUACUCUAUUACUUGAUUGAUGAUUUGAGGUACGUGUGUGAAUUUUUGUCCGGAAAUACGACAUUCGAUUCUGUAGGUAUCUGAGUUUCAAACAAGAUACAGGAUCAGCGCAGGGAAUUGGAAGGAUAAUAGAAUAAUGAUCGCUGUCAAGAGUGUCAUCACUAAUUAGCCAUUCACUAAGAGCUUCACUAAGGAAGAAGUAAGGGAGACGAAGGUUAGAUCCGGAUAAGUGGGAUGUUAGAAUGGUUGGUUUUGUUUAUGUACGUUAGGGAGCUAUCAUUAAGUAAAAGUAGAUCAUUAUUUGUGAAAGUGGAGAGUAAGCUCUCGCCUAUUUUGUCGGUAGAGAAGCUUCUCCACGCGACAUUGUAGCAGUUUAAGUCACCGCUAACGAAAACCAAGUUGAAACUGAUGAGGGAAUCAAUUAUUUUUUGCCAGUGAGCAACAGGAAGAAGGUCAUCUAGUGAACGCCUUGGUUUCAUGAAGAAUAAUUACGUCGUAAUCCUCAGCAAUGCCUUGGAGGAUUGGUUGUUGGAAAAAGGAAUUUCAACAGUUCCAUUGAAGGGUUCGAAGGGAGUUAUUGUUGAUUGUGUGCCCCAUCUUGGGUCUCAUUAAUAACUUUAUUGAGAAGAGAUUCUGAAACUUAGUAGAACUGAUCAAGUCAGAUUGAGUUGAGAAAGAAAAAAUGACUUUGGUAGUCAACUCUAGUAAGAGAGCAAACGCAGUUGAAAUAUUAAGUAAUUAUCAUCAGAAUUUACUUCGGGCAUAGUUGCAUUCAGGCAUUAUCAACUUCAGAGUUUAUGAUAAGAGGGCUCAGGUUUAAAAAGGGAACCGAUAUAGGAAGUGGAAAAUGAUUUGAGUGUAGCCUUUCCUGCACGUUACGCUUAAUAAUGUGAGAAAGUUGAAGAGCCAU